GAUGAAGAACGUAGUGAAAUGCGAAAAGUAAUGUGAAUUGCAGAAUUCAGUGAAUCAUCGAAUCUUUGAACGCACAUUGCGCCCGCUGGUACUCCGGCGGGCACGCCUGUCCGAGCGUCAUUUCAACCCUCAAGCCCUCCUUCGGGAUGGGCCUGGUGUUGGGGCUCGGCCGCCAUCUCCGGCGGCCGUCCCCUAAAUACAGUGGCGGUCACGUCGCGACUCCUUUGCGUAGUAGAAACACCUCGCUCCGGAUAGCAACGCGGUCCACGCCGUAAAACCCCCAAUUUUCAAUGGUUGACCUCGGAUCAGGUGGGAAUACCCGCUGAACUUAAGCAUAUCAAUAAGCGGAGGA
rnacentral:misc_RNA from 1 species